CUCCGAAACCCUCCCUGCCCCUAUGUGAGGUGCAGGUUUCUGGGGGAGCGAAGGACAAUUCCCCCAGGGUUCCGACGUGAACUGAAGCCCAGGCUAUCCUUGGACUGAGCUGCACCGUGCUGCCCCACGCUUUCUGGCAGAGAAGAGCGCUGGUGUCCCAGGCUCCACCUUGGAAGGGUAA
rnacentral:lncRNA from 1 species